rnacentral:rRNA from 1 species
CCUACGGGAGGCAGCAGUGAGGAAUAUUGGUCAAUGGGCGGGAGCCUGAACCAGCCAAGCCGCGUGAGGGAAGAAGGUACAGCGUAUCGUAAACCUCUUUUGUCAGGGAACAAAGGCGGGGACUAGUCCCCGGAUGAGGGUACCUGAAGAAAAAGCAUCGGCUAACUCGGUCCCGGAGCCGGCGUAAUUCCGGGGGAGGCGGGCGUUUUCCGGAUUGUUGGGGUUAAAGGGGUGCGCAGCCGGCCUGUUAAGUCAGCGGUAAAAGCCCGGGGCUCAACCCCGGCGAGCCGUUGAAACUGGCGGGCUGGAGUUGGAGAGAAGUACGCGGAAUGCGCGGUGUAGCGGUGAAAUGCUUAGAUAUCGCGCAGAACCCCGAUUGCGAAGGCAGCGUACCGGCUCCACACUGACGCUGAGGCACGAAAGCGUGGGUAUCGAACAGGAUUAGAUACCCUAGUAGUC